rnacentral:rRNA from 1 species
UACGUAGGGACCAAGCGUUGUUCGGAUUUACUGGGCGUAAAGGGCGCGUAGGCGGCGUGUUAAGUCACUUGUGAAAUCUCUAAGCUUAACUUAGAACGGUCAAGUGAUACUGAUGUGCUAGAGUGCAGAAGGGGCAACCGGAAUUCUUGGUGUAGCGGUGAAAUGCGUAGAUAUCAAGAGGAACACCUGAGGUGAAGACGGGUUGCUGGGCUGACACUGACGCUGAGGCGCGAAAGCUAGGGUAGCAAACAGG